GUGCUUGCUUCAGCAGCACGUAUACUAAAAUUAGAACAAUACAGAGAAGAUUAGCAUGGCCCCUGCAUAAGGAUGACAUACAAAUUCAUGAAACAUUCCAUAUUUAA
rnacentral:snRNA from 1 species